rnacentral:rRNA from 1 species
UACGAAGGGGGCUAGCGUUGCUCGGAAUCACUGGGCGUAAAGGGUGCGCAGGCGGUUGGGUGUGUCAGAUGUGAAAUCCCGAGGCUCAACCUCGGAACUGCGUCUGAAACUACUCGACUAGAGUACUGGAGAGGGUAACGGAAUUCACGGUGUAGCAGUGAAAUGCGUAGAUAUCGUGAGGAACACCAGAGGCGAAGGCGGUUACCUGGACAGUUACUGACGCUCAGGCACGAAAGCUAGGGGAGCAAACAGG